ensembl:lncRNA
GUUUAGACGUCCGUGAUAAUAAUGAAAAUGUUUUAGUUUGUUAUUUUUAGGGGCAAGCAGACCUGGACCAAUUCUCCAGAUCCAGGAGUCGGACGAAACUACAGGUUAACAUGAAUGGAUAUGUUAAGGCAAGUUUCUGGUUGAAUUGUUUACAGUGUCCAGGAACCUGACAGCAAGCCCUAACUGGUGGUGGAAGACCAGCAGGGCUGUGAUUUAAGGUGGGGAAGUAAAAUUUGGGUUAGUGAUUGGGGGACGGAGAAAACUGACUCUUUAACUGGAGAAUGGGAAAGUGUCUGUGAGACUGUGAAGCCAUAUAUGCAAAAUAGCACACACAAACAUACGCAAUGAAGAUCGGCUUGCUACUUGUAUGAGUGAUAGAAUGGUGUGAAUGUUGAAUAAACUGAUUAAACUAGUCUAAAAGGGUGACUUAGCAGUGCUUUUGCACUGAGUGAUCAAAACAAGUGAUUAGUAUAGAAAGAAAAUGAAAAUAAUUGAAUAGUGGCAUGAGGUUUAAAAAAGUAUUUCUUUUGCCAAGUUAAAUUGUUGAGAUAUGGCUGAGUAUGGAAAAAGUUUGAGAGCUUGUGUGAAUGUGGACAGAGGAGCUUGCGGUGUGUGUGUGAUUGAGGCCUUAAAGGAGGGGUAGAUUGUUCAGAGGUGCAAAUUUGAUUAGGAGGUUUAUAAAUUAGUGUUGACACAUUGUUGUAAGAUCUUAGGCUGAAUCUGAGUAUGGUAAAGUGCUUAACCGGGGUUAUUGUUGUGUACGAAACGGUGUAGCUUUUGGCGAGGUUUUCGGUGUGUUGAACGGGUGAAAUUUAAGAUUGUUUCAGAUUUUUGAGGUUGUUGUUUUAUUUUUAAUAGAGGGAGUUUUGAUAAACAUGGACAUGUCUAAAAGGGCCCAUAGUUUUUUCUAAGUGCACUGUUAUAAAAACUAUGGGCCCUUUUAGACAUGUCCAUGUUUAUCAAAACUCCUCUAUUAAAAAUAAAACAACAACCUCAAAAAUCUUCAACAAUCUUAAAUUUCACCCGUUCAACACACCGAAAACCUCGUCAAAAGAUCAAAGACCGUUUUCAUUCAGCACAAGAUAAAAACCAAUUUCAACCACAUAUCAUCCUUAAAUUAUAAAUUUCCUGUCCAAAUCUGCCCCUCUGAACAGACCUGACCACCGUAAUCAAAUAUCCUGAUACUUUACCAUUAUAUAUUUCUCCCAAUACUCUUCAACAGCCACUGCUCUCUCUUGAACUGAACCGAAAGCCUCCGACACACACGCACACAGGAAGUGUCUUUGUCACUCACUCACUCCAGCUAAUUUGCAUAAACCCACAGCUCAACAGCCAACUUACCAAGAGGAAUACAUGUUUAAACUUUAUCACGUUAUUGAAUUAUUUUCAUUUUCUUUCUAUACUAAUCACUUACUUUGAUAAAUCAGUGCAAGAGCACUCCUGAGUCACUCUUAUAGACACUUUUCUUUUGUUUUUUCCAUCUAUUUUAAAUCUUUCCAUCAAUUGUAUUAACCAUUCACACCAUUCUCUCACUCAUACAAGCAGCAAGCAGAUCUUCAUUGCAUAUGCUUAUGUUCUUAGCCAGGUUUUUAAUCAAUAUCUGUUCAUUAAGCUUCAG